GAUUGUGUAGUAUUUUAAUUGUUUCAAAUCACUAGUACUGUUGAUGUGAAAUGAUUUUUCUGAGGAAAAGAGAAAUGUUUGUUAAAUCGUUCGUUUUUUGAUUAUCGAAAAAGAAGAAGGAGAAAAUGGAUUGAUUGAGAUAGGGAUCCAGGAGGUACCGAAAAAGGGACAAUGCUUCGGCUGAAUGUGUCAUUCAUUUACAUGUACCAGUAUAGAUCUGUUACUGAGGCAUAUCCAAUAAUUCUUAUACUCAUGAAGAGUAUGGCAUAUUCCAAGAAUUGAUGCUGGGACUCAUUUUAAAUCAGAUGCUCUCACUUCUAGGAUGUUUCCAAGUUCUUGUUAAAAGUGUUUGAUAUGGCACCAUUCAGCUACAAAUAUUUUGCCAGUGGAACUGUGACAUCAAUCAAUUGCUCAUGCACUGCUAAUUGGCAGAGAAUUUCCUUUGGGACAAGCAAACUGUUUCAAACAUUUUACACCAGCAAGUAGUGAUGAGUGUACUGGAAGGUUUUAAGGAUCUCUUCCAACAUCAUAGGUACAACUGGUCACUGUGCUUGCUUGGUUAUAUAAGCUGGCAUAUUGUUAAGGCAGUGACAUAUGUAGCUCCA